rnacentral:lncRNA from 1 species
AGUUUUGUUGUUAAAUAAGUAAGAAAGUCAAACUCAAAAUCCCGAUCUUAAUUGAUUGUGUUUUUGGAAGUUAGUUUUAAUUAAAGUAUAGUCACUAAUUGAUUCGACGAUACCAUACUCACUACUUUGUUAUUUAGUACAAUCCAUCGAUUUCAGGAUAAAACAGAUAACAGUACAUACUAAUGAGACGUGUUGAUCUUUUGAGUUGAUCUCACAGUAGUAAAUUAUCUAUGGAACAUGAAAGUUCUAACCAAUGGAUUUGUAUUAAAAUAUAUAAUCAAAAUAUUUAUUUGAUGAAUAUAUUGAGAAAGAAUAUAGUUGUUUAAUAAAAUUGUAAAACAAGCUAAUAGCACGAAAUUUUUAAAAAAAAUUUCUGAUUAUUUUCGAUAGCUUAUAAUUAUUUUUAAUAGCAUUCAUGUAAAUACUUUGGAAUAAACAAGAUCAAGCAGUAAAACAUCCACCGAUAGUCAAUUCUUCGCGAUGGAGUGAACCUAACAUUGUAACUUAUUAGUCUCGUCUUUGUUUAUACAUGUACAACUUUUUGAAGGUCACUGGACCAAGUUAUUAGCAAUUAAUCAUUCCAUAUUUGCACAAAAUGAAAUUUAUUAGGUCUUCAUUG